rnacentral:rRNA from 1 species
UACGGAGGGAGCUAGCGUUGUUCGGAAUUACUGGGCGUAAAGCGCGCGUAGGCGGCUUUGUAAGUUAGAGGUGAAAGCCCGGGGCUCAACCCCGGAACUGCCUUUAAGACUGCAUCGCUUGAAUCCAGGAGAGGUGAGUGGAAUUCCGAGUGUAGAGGUGAAAUUCGUAGAUAUCGUGAGGAAGACCAGUGGCGAAGGGCGGGUU